rnacentral:rRNA from 1 species
GUUGUAAGGUUAAGAAAUUAAGCGUACACGGUGGAUGCCUAGGCAAUCAGAGGCGAAGAAGGACGUGUUAAUCUGCGAAAAGCGACGGUGAGCUGAUAAAAGGCGUUAUAGCCGUCGAUGUCCGAAUGGGGAAACCCAGUGCAGGUGACUGCACUAUCAUCUGAUGAAUACAUAGUCAGAUGAGGCGAACCGGGAGAACUGAAACAUCUAAGUACCCCGAGGAAAAGAAAUCAACCGAGAUUCCCCUAGUAGCGGCGAGCGAACGGGGAGGAGCCUAAAGCGGGUAGCAUAAUAUAUCAGUGGAAGCGUCUGGAAAGUCGCACGACAGAGGGUGAAAGUCCCGUACACGAAGGUGUAUUAUGUGGAAGCUUGAAGAGUAGGGCGGGACACGUGAUAUCCUGUCUGAAGAUGGGGGGACCAUCCUCCAAGGCUAAAUACUCCUGAUUGACCGAUAGUGAACCAGUACCGUGAGGGAAAGGCGAAAAGAACCCCGGGAGGGGAGUGAAAUAGACCCUGAAACCGUGUACGUACAAUCAGUGGGAGCAUGUGUCGUUAGGCAUGUGUGACUGCGUACCUUUUGUAUAAUGGGUCAGCGACUUAUAUUCUGUAGCAAGGUUAACCGAAUAGGGGAGCCGAAGGGAAACCGAGUAUUAACUGUGCGUUAAGUUGCAGGGUAUAGACCCGAAACCCGGUGAUCUAGCCAUGGGCAGGUUGAAGGUUGGUUAACACUAACUGGAGGACCGAACCGACUAAUGUUGAAAAAUUAGCGGAUGACCUGUGGCUGGGGGUGAAAGGCCAAUCAAACCGGGAGAUAGCUGGUUCUCCCCGAAAGCUAUUUAGGUAGCGCCUCAUGAGUAACUGUUGGGGGUAGAGCACUGUUUCGGCUAGGGGGCCAUCCCGGCUUACCAACCCGAUGCAAACUCCGAAUACUGACAAGUUUAAUCAUGGGAGACACACGGCGGGUGCUAACGUUCGUCGUGAAGA